UACGGAGGGGGCAAGCGUUAUUCGGAAUUAUUGGGCGUAAAGGGCGCGUAGGCGGCUUGACAAGUCAAAGGUGAAAUCCCUCGGCUCAACCGAGGAAUUGCCCUUGAAACUGCAGGGCUUGAGGCCGGGAGGGGGUAGCGGAAUUCCCAGUGUAGCGGUGAAAUGCGUAGAUACUGGGAGGAACACCGGUGGCGAAGGCGGCUACCUGGACCGGUUCUGACACUGAUGCGCGAAAGCGUGGGUAGCAAACAGG
rnacentral:rRNA from 1 species